GACAAACGCUGGCGGCGUGCCUAAUACAUGCAAGUAGAACGCUGAAGAGAGGAGCUUGCUCUUCUUGGAUGAGUUGCGAACGGGUGAGUAACGCGUAGGUAACCUGCCUUGUAGCGGGGGAUAACUAUUGGAAACGAUAGCUAAUACCGCAUAACAAUGGAUGACACAUGUCAUUUAUUUGAAAGGGGCAAUUGCUCCACUACAAGAUGGACCUGCGUUGUAUUAGCUAGUAGGUGAGGUAAUGGCUCACCUAGGCGACGAUACAUAGCCGACCUGAGAGGGUGAUCGGCCACACUGGGACUGAGACACGGCCCAGACGCCUACGGGAGGCAGCAGUAGGGAAUCUUCGGCAAUGGGGGCAACCCUGACCGAGCAACGCCGCGUGAGUGAAGAAGGUUUUCGGAUCGUAAAGCUCGGUUGUAAGUCAAGAACGGGUGUGAGAGUGGAAAGUUCACACUGUGACGGUAGCUUACCAGAAAGGGACGGCUAACUACGUG
rnacentral:rRNA from 1 species